rnacentral:rRNA from 1 species
AAGGUUAACCGAAUAGGGGAGCCGGAGGGAAACCGAGUCUUAAUUGGGCGUUAAGUUGCAGGGUAUAGACCCGAAACCCGGUGAUCUAGCCAUGGGCAGGUUGAAGGUUGGGUAACACUAACUGGAGGACCGAACCGACUAAUGUUGAAAAAUUAGCGGAUGACCUGUGGCUGGGGGUGAAAGGCCAAUCAAACCGGGAGAUAGCUGGUUCUCCCCGAAAGCUAUUUAGGUAGCGCCUCGUGAAUUCAUCUCCGGGGGUAGAGCACUGUUUCGGCUAGGGGGCCAUCCCGGCUUACCAACCCGAUGCAAACUGCGAAUACCGGAGAAUGUUAUCACGGGAGACACACGGCGGGUGCUAACGUCCGUCGUGAAGAGGGAAACAACCCAGACCGCCAGCUAAGGUCCCAAAGUCAUGGUUAAGUGGGAAACGAUGUGGGAAGGCCCAGACAGCCAGGAUGUUGGCUUAGAAGCAGCCAUCAUUUAAAGAAAGCGUAAUAGCUCACUGGUCGAGUCGGCCUGCGCGGAAGAUGUAACGGGGCUAAACCAUGCACCGAAGCUGCGGCAGCGACACUGUGUGUUGUUGGGUA